UGCCAGAUAGCGCAGUUGGUAGAGCACCUGACUAAAGAUUCAGGGGGCUUCGGAUUCGAAUCCCGGUCUGGUCC
rnacentral:tRNA from 1 species